rnacentral:lncRNA from 1 species
CUAGGGGACAAGCAGACAAGCAUUCCCUCUGAGACUCAUUUCCUCCUCACAAAGCUUUCCAAGAGGUGGAACAGAAAUGAGCACAUGGCAAUGCCAUUUUUACUUUCUCCCACUCAGCUUCCUAAAUCGGAGUGGCAGCCUGGAGGCCAGGCUUGCAAUGGAGCCAGAUCCAGCUUUGCCAGUCCUGGGUGAGACUCGUUGAGCAGAAAGAAAUAAGUACCGUCCUGCUGAGUAGAAACUUCCUGAGAUGUAGCACUUUAUGCUCCGACCCCGUAUCUACCCAGGAAGAUCUACUCUGGUAUGAGAAAAAGGAAAAGCUUCUCCUUCCCCCCAGAGGACCAGACAUUUCCCUCUCCGUACAGACACGGGAGCUUUAAUGCUGUAGAAACAGGUGGAGGGUGGAACGCUGUGACCACAUUUGCUCUGGAGAGUGUGGAUACAGUUCUUUAUCCAGGUCAAGCAGCACUGAAUACCCAUAGUCCAGGUGGGGAGGAAGAAUGCCUGAACAUCUUUGGACAUGUCUUUUUCCUCACCACGUUGGGUGGGUUUUUGGAAAGGCGAGAGCAAGUGUCCUUGCUUCCCAUCAGUGCUGUCAGAGAGUCCACAGUGAUUCCCCAGAACCCGGCUCUGUUGGACAACCCAACCUCUGUCCCAGAGUUCAGCAGCUCACAGAUUCUACGUCUUUCAAGUUACAAACCAACCCUGCAUUCACCUACAAGAUGAAACUGCUUUUGUACCAUUUUAAAGACAGGACAACUUUGGAAACAUUAAUAUAUAUCAUUUCUACAUUUUAGGCAUUUUCACAUUUUAGGUUAUUGGUUUAGAAAAAAAUAUUAGCAAAUUGGACAAUUUUGACAAAUUGAGAAUCCCGAGAGGGCUACAAGAUUGAUUGUGAGAGGCAGCCCGAGGGUCAUUUUCACAAAUGGUACUUUCUAGGAAGUCCACACAAAACAUGUAAGAAAAGUAAUUGCUCAACCUAAUUCAGUUCAAUAAGUCAGUAUAUACCAUCUUAGUUUCCUCCUAAAGGCUGGGCAGGUUUAAAUUUCCCCCCAGCACAAUACUUUUCUAAAGUCUAAUGUAAAAGUACAAUAAAGGUGAAAGGACCCUGCCCUUACUCA